AUAUUGCACAAUGGAGGGCACUCUGAUGCAGCAACGCCGCGUGAGUGAAGAAGGGUUUCGGAUCGGAAAACUCUGUCAUUGGGGAAGAAAACAUAACGGUACACCAUGAGGAAGCCCCGGCUCACUACGUGCCAGCAGCCGCGGUAAUACGUGGGGGGCGAGCGUUGUCCGGAAUUACUGGGCGUAAAGGGUACGUAGGCGGCUAUAUAAGUCAGGUGUGAAAUACCAGUGCUUAACACUGGAAUUGCAUUUGAAACUGUGUAGCUUGAGUGCAGGAGAGGAAAGUGGAAUUCCUAGUGUAGCGGUGAAAUGCGUAGAUAUUAGGAGGAACACCAGUGGCGAAGGCGACUUUCUGGCUUGACCCUGACGCUGAGGCGCGAAAGCGUGGGGAGCAAACA
rnacentral:rRNA from 1 species